UGAUGGAAUCUCGGCGGUGGUCGCCUAAU
rnacentral:sRNA from 1 species